rnacentral:rRNA from 1 species
UGCGUAGGUGGCGGGGUAAGUCUGGUGUGAAAUCCUGGGGCUCAACCCCGGAACUGCACUGGAUACUGCUUUGUUAGAGUACUGGAGAGGGAACUGGAAUUUACGGUGUAGCAGUGAAAUGCGUAGAUAUCGUAAGGAAGACCAGUGGCGAAGGCGGGUUCCUGGACAGUUACUGACACUGAGGCACGAAGGCCAGGGGAGCAAAACGG